CAACAUUGAACCUUCGGGGGAUUUGUUGGGCGGCGAGCGGCGGACGGGUGAGUAAUGCCUAGGAAAUUGCCCUGAUGUGGGGGAUAACCAUUGGAAACGAUGGCUAAUACCGCAUGAUGCCUACGGGCCAAAGAGGGGGACCUUCGGGCCUCUCGCGUCAGGAUAUGCCUAGGUGGGAUUAGCUAGUUGGUGAGGUAAGGGCUCACCAAGGCGACGAUCCCUAGCUGGUCUGAGAGGAUGAUCAGCCACACUGGAACUGAGACACGGUCCAGACUCCUACGGGAGGCAGCAGUGGGGAAUAUUGCACAAUGGGCGCAAGCCUGAUGCAGCCAUGCCGCGUGCAUGAAGAAGGCCUUCGGGUUGUAAAGUACUUUCAGUAGGGAGGAAGGUUCAUGCGUUAAUAGCGUAUGGAUUUGACGUUACCUACAGAAGAAGCACCGGCUAACUCCGUGCCAGCAGCCGCGGUAAUACGGAGGGUGCGAGCGUUAAUCGGAAUUACUGGGCGUAAAGCGCAUGCAGGUGGUUAGUUAAGUCAGAUGUGAAAGCCCGGGGCUCAACCUCGGAAUUGCAUUUGAAACUGGCUGACUAGAGUACUGUAGAGGGGGGUAGAAUUUCAGGUGUAGCGGUGAAAUGCGUAG
rnacentral:rRNA from 1 species